GAGUUUGAUCGUGGCUCAGAUUGAACGCUGGCGGCAUGCUUUACACAUGCAAGUCGAGCGGCAGCGCGGGGCAACCUGGCGGCGAGCGGCGAACGGGUGAGUAAUGCAUCGGAACGUGUCCUGGAGUGGGGGAUAACCCGGCGAAAGCCGGGCUAAUACCGCAUACGCUCUAUGGAGGAAAGCGGGGGAUCCUUGGGUAACUGAGGACCUCGCGCUCAAGGAGCGGCCGAUGUCCGAUUAGCUAGUUGGUGGGGUAAUGGCCCACCAAGGCGACGAUCGGUAGCUGGUCUGAGAGGAUGAUCAGCCACACUGGGACUGAGACACGGCCCAGACUCCUACGGGAGGCAGCAGUGGGGAAUUUUGGACAAUGGGGGAAACCCUGAUCCAGCCAUGCCGCGUGCGGGAAGAAGGCCUCGGUUGUAACCG
rnacentral:rRNA from 1 species